rnacentral:rRNA from 1 species
AGAGUUUGAUCCUGGCUCAGGACGAACGCUGGCGGCGCGCCUAACACAUGCAAGUCGAACGAGCGAGAGAGAGCUUGCUUUCUCGAGCGAGUGGCGAACGGGUGAGUAACGCGUGAGGAACCUGCCUCAAAGAGGGGGACAACAGUUGGAAACGACUGCUAAUACCGCAUAAGCCCACGACCCGGCAUCGGGUAGAGGGAAAAGGAGCAAUCCGCUUUGAGAUGGCCUCGCGUCCGAUUAGCUAGUUGGUGAGGUAACGGCCCACCAAGGCGACGAUCGGUAGCCGGACUGAGAGGUUGAACGGCCACAUUGGGACUGAGACACGGCCCAGACUCCUACGGGAGGCAGCAGUGGGGAAUAUUGCACAAUGGGGGAAACCCUGAUGCAGCGACGCCGCGUGGAGGAAGAAGGUCUUCGGAUUGUAAACUCCUGUUGUUGAGGAAGAUAAUGACGGUACUCAACAAGGAAGUGACGGCUAACUACGUGCCAGCAGCCGCGGUAAAACGUAGGUCACAAGCGUUGUCCGGAAUUACUGGGUGUAAAGGGAGCGCAGGCGGGAAGACAAGUUGGAAGUGAAAUCCAUGGGCUCAACCCAUGAACUGCUUUCAAAACUGUUUUUCUUGAGUAGUGCAGAGGUAGGCGGAAUUCCCGGUGUAGCGGUGGAAUGCGUAGAUAUCGGGAGGAACACCAGUGGCGAAGGCGGCCUACUGGGCACCAACUGACGCUGAGGCUCGAAAGUGUGGGUAGCAAACAGGAUUAGAUACCCUGGUAGUCCACACCGUAAACGAUGAUUACUAGGUGUUGGAGGAUUGACCCCUUCAGUGCCGCAGUUAACACAAUAAGUAAUCCACCUGGGGAGUACGACCGCAAGGUUGAAACUCAAAGGAAUUGACGGGGGCCCGCACAAGCAGUGGAGUAUGUGGUUUAAUUCGACGCAACGCGAAGAACCUUACCAAGUCUUGACAUCCUGCGACGCACAUAGAAAUAUGUGUUUCCUUCGGGACGCAGAGACAGGUGGUGCAUGGUUGUCGUCAGCUCGUGUCGUGAGAUGUUGGGUUAAGUCCCGCAACGAGCGCAACCC